CGAUGAACCUCACUUCGGGAGGGGAUUAGUGGCGAACGGGUGAGUAACACGUGGGCAAUCUGCCCUGCACUCUGGGACAAGCCCUGGAAACGGGGUCUAAUACCGGAUACGAGUUUCACAGGCAUCUGUGAUUCUGGAAAGCUCCGGCGGUGCAGGAUGAGCCCGCGGCCUAUCAGCUUGUUGGUGAGGUAACGGCUCACCAAGGCGACGACGGGUAGCCGGCCUGAGAGGGCGACCGGCCACACUGGGACUGAGACACGGCCCAGACUCCUACGGGAGGCAGCAGUGGGGAAUAUUGCACAAUGGGCGCAAGCCUGAUGCAGCGACGCCGCGUGAGGGAUGACGGCCUUCGGGUUGUAAACCUCUUUCAGCAGGGAAGAAGCGAAAGUGACGGUACCUGCAGAAGAAGCGCCGGCUAACUACGUGCCAGCAGCCGCGGUAAUACGUAGGGCGCAAGCGUUGUCCGGAAUUAUUGGGCGUAAAGAGCUCGUAGGCGGCUUGUCGCGUCGGAUGUGAAAGCCCGGGGCUUAACCCCGGGUCUGCAUUCGAUACGGGCAGGCUAGAGUUCGGUAGGGGAGAUCGGAAUUCCUGGUGUAGCGGUGAAAUGCGCAGAUAUCAGGAGGAACACCGGUGGCGAAGGCGGAUCUCUGGGCCGAUACUGACGCUGAGGAGCGAAAGCGUGGGGAGCGAACAGGAUUAGAUACCCUGGUAGUCCACGCCGUAAACGGUGGGCACUAGGUGUGGGCAACAUUCCACGUUGUCCGUGCCGCAGCUAACGCAUUAAGUGCCCCGCCUGGGGAGUAC
rnacentral:rRNA from 1 species